UACAGAGGGGGCUAGCGUUAUUCGGAAUUAUUGGGCGUAAAGGGCGCGUAGGCGGCCAUGCGUGUCUUCCGUGAAAUCCCUCGGCUUAACUGAGGACGUGCGGAAGAAACUGCAAGGCUCGAGUCCGGGAGAGGGGGGUGGAAUUCCCAGUGUAGCGGUGAAAUGCGUAGAUAUUGGGAGGAACACCGGUGGCGAAGGCGGCCCCCUGGACCGGUACUGACGCUGAGGCGCGAAAGCGUGGGGAUCAAACAGG
rnacentral:rRNA from 1 species